rnacentral:lncRNA from 10 species
GCCACACCUCUCCACAAGCAGAGGGAGCUGGCUUCAGCCUCAGCCAGCACAGAGAGGGGCCCCCAUAGCGCAGUGGCGGGCUGAAGGGCUCCUUGAGCAUGGCCAGAGUGGACGCCAAGGCUGAGGAGGCGCCGAGAGCCAGUGAGGGCUGCUAGCAUGUUGUCACCUCUCAAUACAUAAAACUACUGGAGGGUGGUUCCAAGAUGGCCAAAUAGGAACAGCUCCAGUCUACAGCUCCCAGCAUGAGUGAUGCAGAAGACGAAUGAUUUCUGCAUUUCCAACUCAGAGAGCUGACUUUAGAGGGAUCAAGAAUAGCUUGCUGGAUGGAAGGAGGUAAGAAACAGGACUAUCAAUGUUUUACUUAUCUGAGCUGUAUAAUAAUUUGGUGUAGAUAAUUAAAUGAGAUGAAGUAUGGGAAAUGUGUUGUAAACAUUCUCAAAUCCUCUGCUAUUAUUGCUUACUGCAGCAUCUGAAACAGCAGGGUCUGUCAUGCAAUAGCCCUCAAAUCAAUGUUUGUUGAGUUAUAGUAAGUCGAAUUAAAGAGUAGUUGGACAAUUGCAAGUAAUAGGUGGAAGUAGAAGGCUGAGAAAGUUGACACUUAGCGUUCUCUGUUGAAAACUAUGCUAUUAGCAGUGUUGGGUCAGCAAAUGGCUUAUUUUGGUUGGCAACCCCAUGGAAAAGGAUUUGCUGGAUACAAUAAUAGUAUAUUCCCACAAAAAUUCUGAAGUUUUAUAUUUUUGAGAAUGUUGACAAGCCGGCAAAUUAAUGAAUGGCUGCCAGUUGUUGAAUUUGAAUGUCACUCCUGGUGAUUGUAAGUGUGAGUAUGCCUUUGUUUUCCCUGUGUGCUAAACUCACGCUAGGGGUCCCAUUGUUUUGAGGAGCUAUUUAAGUAGCCUUCAGGAGAAUCUGAAAAUCAUCCAAAUCCAGUGUAUAAGCAUGAGAAGUCUGAGCUGAAGACUAAAAGUACUCUCCCUACAACCUGUCAGACAUCUGGCCCAAUGCUAGCUAUAGGCAGUGGGGCUUCUUGAUGGUCAUUGGUGAGGAUUCAAUCUUUGGUACCCAAAGAGUGGGUGAAAGUUUCAGGAAAAGAAAUCUCAAGCCUUGAGGCCUCCCAUGAAGGCGAGACCAAGAUUUCUCUUCCACAACCCAAUCUUUACAAUUAUUCUGGAGAUGGUUGGGAGGAGAGUAGUCAUCCUCUUGACUAGAGGAUGAGAGACUGUGCAGGAGAAAGCUCUGGAGGAGACCUCACCCUUUGUGACUAGUAUGGUGUGUCUCAUUCAUCAUGAGAUGGUGGGUGAUGCAGGUGAUGAGUUAAUGAUAAUUAAGCCCACGCUGUGGAACCCAUGGGAGAAGCAUGUAAUAGCCAAUAGUAAUAUCAGCAAGGCCUUCCUCAAUUCCACGCAGAGGAAGACCCAAAAGGAUCAGUGGACCCAGGGCCGUGGGAUACCAUGAGAAGGGAGUCGACGGCAGGGAUUUAGGUUUGGGGGUUCUUGGAAGGAAGGUAUCAUGUAGACUUUUGGUGAGGCCCUAGAGAGCCUAUCAUUAGCCAAAAUGGUAUGGCUGUGAGGCUGCUCAAAUCACUACAUCCAAUGAGUCCUGGGGAAUGGUGGGAAGGCUCUAAUUUAGUGAGUGGUGGUCAACAGUAGAGAUCCCUGGAAAGCAGCAAUACUUGUACUUAGAAGCUAGCACAGUCAUCAAGGGAGGUCUGUCUGGAAGCCUGGAGGAAUAGUGACAGGGUCCAAGCCCCUGCAGAAGGGUGCCUGGUGAAGACUAAGUCAACCGUAGGCACCCAGUCAACAAGGUGACUCAGAGUAGGAAGAAUUAGAGUGCAAGUUGGGAAGUUGGGAAGAAAGCAAAGUCAUAUAAAUUGGGUAGAAUUUCAGCAGGUCCUGGCAAGGAGACUACAGUCAGCAGACAUGUGGGUCCCAGUGGUUCCCUUCAGGGACAUUGGAUAUCAUGCUGGCAACAUCAAAUCAAAUCCCAGGCCCUACAUACUGGUGGGAAUGAAGCUGCUGAAAGAUCACCAUGCUGGGAGGGUUAGAAGUGGCUCAAGGUCUAACUGGGGCUAAAUGUGUAGAUUAAAUCUUUAACACCUUUAGCUGGAUGGAGUGGGGACAAACAUUCUCUCCCUGAAGGUAGUAAAAGGUCUUUGUGACAGAGAACAGCUAGUAUUAAUGGGGAAAGCAUUGAACUAUUAUCAAGGGUAGAUUUGUGAUAUUUCCGGGUGGCUUUUAUACCAAGAGAAGCAUGCUAAUAUUCCAGAAAAAAUUAUGGGUUAUUUAUUCUGGGAAACAUAUACUUUGAACCAAAAAUGAGAACACAUGGUGUGAUAAGUAUGAGCAUACUGAUGAGGAUAAUUGGAUAAGAUACGUGCAAUCAGGAUUGUUUUGGUAAAUAGGAGACU